rnacentral:tRNA from 1 species
UGCAGUACAUGUAGCCCAGUGGUGGCCUGUUUACCUAGCAUGCAUGAGGCCCUGGGUUCAAUCCCCAGUACUGCAA